AGUGGGAUAACUGGGUCAAAUGGUGGUUCCACUCCAAGUGUUCUAAGGAAUCUCCAUACUGCUUUCUAGAGUUGUUGCACCAAUUUGCAAUCCCACCAGCAAU
rnacentral:pre_miRNA from 1 species